GCUCACGUGGCGGAAUUGGUAGACGCGCACGCUUGAGGGGCGUGUGACUUAACGGUCGUGGAAGUUCGACUCUUCUCGUGAGCA
rnacentral:tRNA from 2 species